rnacentral:misc_RNA from 1 species
GAUGAAGAACGCAGUGAAAUGCGAUAAGUAGUGUGAAUUGCAGAAUUCAGUGAAUCAUCGAAUCUUUGAACGCACAUUGCGCCCUUUGGUAUUCCAAAGGGCAUGCCUGUUCGAGCGUCAUUUGUACCCUCAAGCUUUGCUUGGUGUUGGGCGUCUUGUCUCCAGUCCGCUGGAGACUCGCCUUAAAAUCAUUGGCAGCCGGCCUACUGGUUUCGGAGCGCAGCACAAGUCGCACUCUUUUCCAGCCAAGGUCAGUGUCCAACAAGCCUUUUUUCAACUUUUGACCUCGGAUCAGGUAGGGAUACCCGCUGAACUUAAGCAUAUCAAUAAGCGGAGGA